ACAAACUUGGUCAUUUAGAGGAAGUAAAAGUCGUAACAAGGUUUCCGUAGGUGAACCUGCGGAAGGAUCAUUAAAAGUGCGGGCGCUGUGCCCGGUCCACACUUUCAUCCCGUGAACUUACCCUGUUGCUUCGGCGGGCCCACGCCCCGAGCGUCCGGCUGUCGCCCUCCCGGGCGGCGGCUGGAGAGCCCGCCAGAAGACCAUUCAAACUCGUCUUUUUGGUGCCUGUCUGAAUGAAAACACAAUACCUUAAAACUUUCAACAACGGAUCUCUUGGUUCUCGCAUCGAUGAAGAACGCAGC
rnacentral:misc_RNA from 1 species